UCUUCAACUUCCACACUUUCUUUAUUUUCUACUUCACCAUUUUUUUCAUUCUUUUCGACUUCUUCCUGACUCCACUCCCCAACUUCAACAUCACUGCUAUUCUCUAUUUUUUUCUCCUCAUUUUUUUCCUCAUCCUCUCUUUUUUCACUCUGAUCUCUUUUUUUACUCUCACUAAUCAACUCCUUCCCACUUCUCAUCGUUAUCGCUUUACAAUGCUCUUUUGGAUUUGUU
rnacentral:lncRNA from 1 species